GUGUCAGCAGCCGCGGUAAGACGAACCGUGCGAACGUUGUUCGGAAUCACUGGGCUUAAAGGGUGCGUAGGCGGGCAACCAAGUCCGGGGUGAAAUCCUCCAGCUUAACUGGAGAAUAGCCUUGGAUACUGGUGGUCUCGAGGGAGGUAGGGGCAGCUGGAACUUCCGGUGGAGCGGUGAAAUGCGUUGAUAUCGGAAGGAACGCCGGUGGCGAAAGCGAGCUGCUGGACCUCUUCUGACGCUGAGGCACGAAAGCCAGGGGAGCAAACGGGAUUAGAAACCCGAGUAGUCC
rnacentral:rRNA from 1 species